CCCCAAGUAAGUUAGUUCUUUGGUCAAAGCAAAGAUAUUAAAUAGAUAGCUAUAAGUUCUUUCGUUAAAGUCUUUGGUUGAGUCGAAUAGGGGAAGUAACCAUUCAUACACUUUCAAAACAACUUGAUACAUUAAUAUUGUAGAAAAUCUCUAAACACACUGCAAAUGCAGGCGUCAGUUAGUGUAUUAGCACGUGCAGUGGAGCUUGACAAGAAGAAGCGGUACACAGAAGCGGCUAUAUGUUAUCAGGAAGGGAUACAGCUGUUACUCAACGUUUUAAAAG